AUUUUAGUUAAAAUAUUGAUAAGUUUCAAACAAAAUUUAAAAAAAUCUCAAAUUCAAAACAAAUCUUUUUUAAAAAAAAUUAAAUUUUAGGAAUAUAAUAACUAAACUUUGGAUAAAAUUUGAAAAUUUAGAAAAACUUGGAUCGUCUUUGAGAUUCAUUUUGAUAUUUGCUUCUAUUAUACCCACAUGUCGCGUCUCUACCUCUUCUAUCAAUGAUGUUGGCCUUUGAAUAAAAGUCAAGCCCCAUUCCCUUUGUUGAACUUCUAUCAGAAGGAUAUCAUUGAUAGUAUUUGUAGUAAGCAUUCUCUUCGGUGUUGGAUUGUGCAGAGGCACAACUAGUGUGUCCCAAGUCUUUGGCAGUGAACUAACAAAUAGAUUGGCUUGCAUUUUCUGUUCGACCUUCAUUUCGACUUUAUUUAGAUGAUUUUAUGAGUUUUUUUUUAUUGUUUCAAGUUUUCUAUAAUUCCAAAUAUACAUGUUUUUUUGGGUGCAAAUGUUAAAAAACAUAGACAUGUUCAAAAAACAAAUUAGCCGAUGGCUUACAGAUUACUACAACCAUGCACUUUUCUAUUUAGAAUACUCCAUGUCUUUGUCAUAUUUUCUUUUGUCUAGUCUUUCAUGAUGGUGGAUUCAUGCAAAAUCUUGCGAUAAAGAGUAUUUUCUAUCAUAGGUUUCUAAUAAAAGUAAUUUUCCUUCAAAGGGAAUGAUAAUAUCCAUCUUCAUUCGCACCAGAAAUCUGUUGAUGUUACAAAAGAUGAGAAAGAAACAAUUUAGAAUUUGAAAAUAACUUUUAUUUUGGAGAAGUUUGAUGUUAUUUAGUGGUCUGAGAAUAACAUUCUCUAAGAAAUAUUUCUACUUGCAUUAAUUUUACAAAUAUCACCAACACUUUUAUUUAUAACUUAAACAUUGUCUAAUCUCCGUUUCGCUAUUUUCUAAAUUCGUCCCUAUUAGACUUUUCUUUUGGGAUGAUGUAGAGAUCAUCCAACAGUAAAUUUAGUGUCCUAUAACUUUAGGCUUUUAUUUGUGGCAUUCGUCCUUCGAAUAGCUAUGGCAUAUAAUAGCCACAAAAAGUCACAUGAUAAAUACAAAUUUCUGUUUUUUUUUUUAAGCAUAGCUGUUUUAUGACUAUUUGUGGCUAGAAAACUUUAGCCACAUAAUUUUGCAUUGUUGAAUUGUGGGUAAACACAAUUUUUCUUGUAGUGAUUCUCCAAUAAGAUAUGUCUGUUCUUUUCUUACAUGAUACUGAUACUGGUAGUCCGGUCUUCUACAAUAUUGGUUGUUCUGGUCUUCCACGAAAAAAUGAAAAUUGGGAGCACAAAGAAAUUUUUCUUGUUGCUUCUUUCUCAUCCGCCGUGUCCCCAAUUUCCGGCUUUUUCUUUUACUAUUGCUUGAGUUUUAGUUUCUACUUUUAUUGCUUCAGUUCUCCGAUCAUUGUUUUCGCAUAGACAAGGCGUUAGGGUUCUCGUCGCUGAAAAGGGACAUGAGCUUAUCGUCUGUACCUCCCGGCUGCGCCUGAGCCUGCUCCGACUUCCUCACAAAACCCGCUGGUGCCCUCUUGUCGUAAGCUCCAGCUGCGUACGGAUAAGCCACCAUCGUGUAAGGAACAUACGGCCAUAACUCAGCUUUCUUCUUCCCAGUGCUUUGCACUCUCUUCAAUACUUUCUUGGGAUCCACGUAGCCACUCACUGUCACUUUGUGCAUCUUUCUAUUCACUUCCACCGAUUUUGCCCCUUCAGAAAAAAAACGAGUGGUGUAUAUAUUAGUUAGGCUAGCUGCGUUUGGCUGAUAUAAUUUGGAAAGUAAUUACGUUUCUGAAAUAUGAAAUGUCAAAUUACGUAAUCUUAGCUAUUAGUACGGUAGAGUCAAUGUUUUAGAGUUUUAUUACACGUAUAGAUAUCUUAUGUGAUUUAA